rnacentral:misc_RNA from 1 species
UACAGACUCCUAUGACUUCC